UACAGAGGGUGCGAGCGUUAAUCGGAAUUACUGGGCGUAAAGGGCGCGUAGGUGGUUAUAGAAGUUCGGGGUGAAAGUCCCGGGCUUAACCUGGGGAUUGCGUCUGAUACUGUGUAGCUAGAGUGCUGUAGAGGGAAGUGGAAUUUCCGGUGUAGCGGUGAAAUGCGUAGAUAUCGGAAGGAACAUCGGUGGCGAAGGCGACUUUCUGGACAGACACUGACACUGAGGCACGAAAGCAUGGGGAGCAAACAGG
rnacentral:rRNA from 1 species